AAGUCGUAACAAGGUUUCCGUAGGUGAACCUGCGGAAGGAUCAUUAUGGUAUUCAUUUACCAACGUAUGUGAACCCGGCGGAAUCGGCGCUCUCUUCACGGAGAUAGGCGCUUAGCAGGUAACUGCUGAGUGCUGAAGCCGGUUCUGUCACAAACAGACUCUGGCGGACUUGAGCCGUCAGACUUUUAACCAAUUCCAUAACAAUAUACUUGAUUAGAAUAUACUUUACCUAGUGUAAAGAAAGUGACAACUUUUAGCAAUGGAUCUCUAGGCUCUC
rnacentral:misc_RNA from 1 species